GUCUUUUUGAGUUAUUUUAAAAGUCUGACCUGCCCACUGAAUUUUUUUAAAUGGCCGCAGUAUUCUAACUGUGCAAAGGUAGCAUAAUCAUUAGUCUUUUAAUUGAAGGCUGGUAUGAACGGUUGGACGAAGUAUAAGCUGUUUCAUGUAAAUUUAUAGUAGAAUUUUAUAUUUUAGUCAAAAAGCUAAAAUGUAAUUAAAAGACGAGAAGACCCUAUAAAUCUUUAUAUUUUAUUUAAUUUAAAUUUUUUUGAUUUUUUUUAUUUUUAUUAUAUUAAAUAUUUUGUUGGGGUGAUAUUAAAAUUUGAUGAACUUUUAAUUGUUUUAAAUCAUUAAUUUAUGAAUUAUUGAUCCAUUAGUAGUGAUUAUAAGAUUAAGUUACUUUAGGGAUAACAGCGUAAUUUUUUUGGAGAGUUCUUAUCGAUAAAAAAGUUUGCGACCUCGAUGUUGGAUUAAGAUAUAGAUUUAGGUGUAGCCGCUUAAAUACUGAGUCUGUUCGACUUUUAAAUUCUU
rnacentral:rRNA from 1 species